rnacentral:tRNA from 1 species
GGCACUGUGGCUCAAAUGGUAGAGUGCUUGCCUUGAGCAAGAGAAGCUCAGGGUCAGUGCCC